rnacentral:rRNA from 1 species
GACGAACGCUGGCGGCGUGCUUAACACAUGCAAGUCGAACGAAGUGGCGAACGGGUGAGUAACGCGUAAUCAACCUGCCCUUCAGAGGGGGACAACAGUUGGAAACGACUGCUAAUACCGAAUACUGAAGGAGGGGUUUGCGUCUGAUUAGCUAGUUGGAGGGGGAACGGCCCACCAAGGCGAUGAUCAGUAGCCGGGCUGGGAGGGUGAACGGCCACAUUGGGACUGGGACACGGGCCAGGAUCCUAAGGGAGGCAGCAGUGGGGAAACUUCCGCAAUGGACGAAAGUCUGACGGAGCAACGCCGCGUGAGUGAUGACGGCCUUCGGGUUGUAAAGCUCUGUUAAUCGGGACGCGGUACCGGAAUAGAAAGCCACGGCUAACUACGUGCCAGCCGCCGCGGUAAUUC